rfam:Schistosoma curassoni strain Dakar, Senegal genome assembly, scaffold: SCTD_scaffold0007883
AUUCUGAUGAUGAAUUCGAAAUAGGACGAAACGCACGUCCUGGAU